GUUGAGAGAAUUUUUAAAAUUUAAAUUUAAUUUUAAAUUAUAAAAAAUAAUUUAUUGUUUUAUUAUUUUUUGAGAAAGAAUUUUAUUUAUAAUAGAGUAUUAGUAUUGUGAAAGAAUUUAUUUAAAUUUUAAAAAGAAUAUUUAAAAUUUAGUACCUUGUGUAUCAGGGUUUAUUAAAUAAUGGUUAAAAAUUUAAUUUUCUCGAAUUUAAAAGAGCUAUAAAAAUAUAAUUUUUAUUGUAAAAUAAAUAUUAUAAAUAUUUUUAUAGUAAUGAAACGUUAAUCGUUUUUAAGUAUAUCUAGUUUUUUAAGAAAUAAAUUUAAUUUAUUUAAUAUAAAUAUUUUUUUAAGUUUUUAAUUUAAUAUUAUUAUUAAGUAACUUGGGAUGGGAUGAGCUUUUCUGAGAAUAAUUAAAAAGUAAAAAUUACUUUAGUUAAAUAGGAUUAUAAAUUUUCAUUUUUAAUAGUAUGUUAUAAUUAUUUUAAUUUUAAAUAUAAUUUUUAUAUUUUUUAAAUUUUUUAUUAAAAUAUUUAUUUAAAUAAUAAAAAUAAAGAAAUAAUGAUAAAAUUAGUAUAAUUUUUUGUAAUUUAUAGAAUAAAAUUAAGGUUAAAUAAAGGAAUUCGGCAAAUAAGUUUCUCACCUGUUUAAUAAAAACAUGGCCUUUUGAAUUUAAUCUAAGGUCUGACCUGCCCCCUGAGUAUUUAAAUGGCUGCGGUAUUUUGACCGUGCAAAGGUAGCAUAAUCACUUGUUUUUUAAUUGAAAGCUGGAAUGAAAGGUCGAAUGAGGAAACAACUGUCUCUAUUUAAAUUUUUUAGAACUUUAUUUUUAAGUUAAAAAGCUUAAAUAAUUUUUGAAGACGAGAAGACCCUAUAGAGUUUUAUAAUUGACUGAUUUAAAUUAAAUAGAAUUAAUAUUAUAAGUUGGAAAAUUAUUUGGUUGGGGUGAUUGAAAAAUUAAAUAAACUUUUUUUUAUGAAUAACACUGAUUUGUGAAUAUUUGAUCCUUGGUUAAGAUUAAAAGAGUAAAUUACCUUAGGGAUAACAGCGUAAUUUUUUUUUAGAGUUCAAAUUAAAAAAAAAGAUUGCGACCUCGAUGUUGGAUUAAAAUUAAUUUCUGGUGCAGAAGUUAGAAAAUUUGGUCUGUUCGACCAUUAAAAUUUUACAUGAUCUGAGUUUAAACCGGUGUGAGCCAGGUUGGUUUCUAUCUCAAAAUAGUUAAUAUAUUUUAGUACGAAAGGACCAUAUAUA
rnacentral:rRNA from 1 species